rnacentral:lncRNA from 1 species
AAAACACCCCAGUAUACUAUGAUGUAAUGAAUGGAACAGGCAAGUACACUAUAUAUCUCAAUGCUAUGUCGUAAGCAUGUCAAGUAAUCCAACUACUAAGCCUAUCUAGUAGUGAUUAUUCAUUCUCAAUACUGUGUCGAUUUCCAUUUCCAAUUAAGGACCUACCAAAGGUAGUCCAGCUUGUGCCGCCUAAGUGCCUGUGGUAGCCCAACAUCCCUACUCUUGGAAUGUGUCUGUCCCACUCGACCCCGUAGGCCUCUCAAUACCGCACGAGCGAACAUAAGUCGCGUAGGCUAACUCCGGAGUGCCGGCUUGUAGGGAGCGACCCUCACAAGCAUGUGCGAAUGAGCACAAAUGGCAA